rnacentral:rRNA from 1 species
AUUGAACGCUGGCGGCAGGCCUAACACAUGCAAGUCGAACGGUAGCACAGAGAGCUUGCUCUCGGGUGACGAGUGGCGGACGGGUGAGUAAUGUCUGGGAAACUGCCUGAUGGAGGGGGAUAACUACUGGAAACGGUAGCUAAUACCGCAUAACGUCGCAAGACCAAAGUGGGGGACCUUCGGGCCUCAUGCCAUCAGAUGUGCCCAGAUGGGAUUAGCUAGUAGGUGGGGUAACGGCUCACCUAGGCGACGAUCCCUAGCUGGUCUGAGAGGAUGACCAGCCACACUGGAACUGAGACACGGUCCAGACUCCUACGGGAGGCAGCAGUGGGGAAUAUUGCACAAUGGGCGCAAGCCUGAUGCAGCCAUGCCGCGUGUGUGAAGAAGGCCUUCGGGUUGUAAAGCACUUUCAGCGGGGAGGAAGGCGUUAAGGUUAAUAACCUUGGCGAUUGACGUUACCCGCAGAAGAAGCACCGGCUAACUCCGUGCCAGCAGCCGCCGCAG